GACGAACCGUGCGAACGUUAUUCGGAGUCACUGGGCUUAAAGCGCGCGUAGGCGGGCCGGCGCGUCGGCCACUGAAAGCCCCCGGCUCAACCGGGGGAGGGGUGCCGAGACGGCCGGCCUGGAGGGGCGUAGGGGGAGCCCGGAACUUCCGGUGGAGCGGUGAAAUGCGUUGAGAUCGGAAGGAACGCCCGUGGCGAAAGCGGGGUCCUGGACGCCAGCUGACGCUGAGGCGCGAAAGCCAGGGGAGCGAACGGG
rnacentral:rRNA from 1 species